CAGCACACAGGACACUGCUGCUAACAAGAGCGUAGGCCUGAAUGCCAGGAACAUGGACUCGCGACAUUCAUUUGCAAAAAGGCAAACAUGGAGGUUUUCUCAUCCAGAAAAUGCUGCAGCUUCUACCAGCACCUUGGUAACAUCUAACAGCAAGGAGCGCAGUGUGUAAUGCCUACUCAAGAUAAGAAGCCACAACCCUGAAAAGGAAUUAUCUGAAUACGAAUCCCACUGUUCUCCUGGCAGCCCUGCCCUGGCUUUGCAGCAACAAGAGCACCAAGCAGCUCAGCCAUGACACCAACUACACUUUGCCAAAGUGGUAGAAAAAGAGUUAGAGAAGCAAGCAGGAGCAGGCUGUGGACAGCCCACGUCUGCUGCAGCACAAGUGUAAGAGCUGUUAAAAUGGUUCCACAGGAGGGCCAUGAAGAUUAUCAGAGGGCUGGAGCACCUCUUCUGUGAAGAAAAUGUCUUCUACAUUGAGGUUGGUGAGGCACUGGAACAGGUUGCCCAG
ensembl:lncRNA